rnacentral:rRNA from 1 species
AUGCCGCGUGAGUGAUGAAGGCCUUAGGGUCGUAAAGCUCUUUCGCCUGUGAAGAUAAUGACGGUACCAGGUAAAGAAACCCCGGCUAACUCCGUGCCAGCAGCCGCGGUAAUACGGAGGGGGUUAGCGUUGUUCGGAAUUACUGGGCGUAAAGCGCACGUAGGCGGAUUGGAAAGUUGGGGGUGAAAUCCCGGGGCUCAACCCCGGAACUGCCUCCGAAACUGCUAGUCUUGAGUUCGAGAGAGGUGAGUGGAAUUCCGAGUGUAGAGGUGAAAUUCGUAGAUAUUCGGAGGAACACCAGUGGCGAAGGCGGCUCACUGGCUCGAUACUGACGCUGAGGUGCGAAAGUGUGGGGAGCAAACAGGAUUAGAUACCCUGGUAGUCCACACCGUAAACGAUGAAUGCCAGACGUCGGGUAGCAUGCUAUUCGGUGACACACCUAACGGAUUAAGCAUUCCGCCUGGGGAGUACGGUCGCAAGAUUAAAACUCAAG